rnacentral:lncRNA from 1 species
UCUUGAAGCUGAGCCUCCUCAGGGGCCCACAGACUGGCUCUGAUGAAAGGUUCAUUUUCCUUUCUUUGUGCAGGUGACAAAUUCUACCGCCAGUAAUCACUUGUGAAAAAUCAACAGUGAAGCCCAGCGGCUCCCGGUCCCCCGGAGAAAUCUGAGUGGAUUUCUGGAAGAACAAGACUUCGGCUUCAGAAAAAUGUGGUUUCAAAGCUGCAGUCCCGGCCUUCCUCAGCUGUGUGACCUUGGUUAUGUCCACGUGCCCAUUGCCUCGCCUGGGCCUCACUUUUCUCAUCUGUAUCAUGGAGUUGGCACCACCGGCUCUGCCCUCAAGGUUUGCCGCGCCUGCAGAGGCCCCUGAGCAUUCAGCAGGUGCUCACUCAGCAGGAGCUGCCAGACACUGAAUGUGUGAUGGGAAUCAUUGGAUGCUGCCGCCUCUCCGCCCACCCGCCACCUGACACUGCCUCCUGGCUCUCCAUCACUGCCCAGGAGUCGGGCAGCCUCCCCGCUCCCUGCUAUUUCUUCUCUGCACCUGACGCCGCCUCCUGGCUCUCCAUCACUGCCCAGGAGUCGGGCAGCCUCCCCGCUCCCUGCUAUUUCUUCUCUGGAGCUUCCCAGGAGGUUAAUAGCAGCUUCUCACCAGGAUAUUUGGCUUUUUAAGGAAUCUUGUUGCCUCUUUCUUCUCUGUGAGGAUAUUCUCAGGAUGGUUGUGGUGGAGAAGGGAAGGAAGGAGACUCUCGAGGCAUUUGCCAACUAAGGGGGGCACUUAGGGGUAGGUGGGGGGGGCAGUUCCGGGCAGAACUUGGGGCAGACAGUGCCCUGUUUCCAGAACAGCUCCCAGUGCUGGGCUGGGCUGGGCUUAAAUGCAGUGGGAGAAGCUCAAGGGUGGGGUGGGGUCACAGGCUCCACUUGGAAUGGGCCAGGUCAUUUGACUAUGGGGGCAUUUCUGAGCCUGGUGGGGCCUCAGUCUCCCCUCCCGGAAGAUGGGCCUGAUGAUCCAUGCCAGCCUGUAAAGGAAGGGAAAGAGUUUUGCUGAGCUGCAGAAGGAGGUGCAGACAAGGCGAGGGGCUGGGUGUUGGGGGAGGCCAGCUGAGCGCCCAGGACCCCUCUGGCCCCACCCCAGGUCCUUGGGCUCCACCUGCUCUCAGCCCUGCCCUGAGCUCAGGAAUGGUCCCAGGCCUGAGAAGGAGGUCAAAACUCUGCAGCCCUUCCACUACUACUUCGGGGGGCUCAGCACAGCUCCUCUGGGCUCAGGUCCCCAGGCCUUUCCCUGAUGUAACCCCCCAAUCAGGCCCGCCCAGUAGGGGAGGUCCACCUCUUAUGUGUGUGUUUUAAAUUGCAGUAAAAUGUACGUAACAUGAAAUUUACCAUUUUAUCUCUGUAAGCAUACAGGUCCGUGGCAUUCGGUACAUUCACAUUCCUGUGUGGCCAUGACCACCAUCCAUUUCCGGGGCUUCUGCAUGAUCCCGAACAGAAGCUUGCAUGCCCUGCGCCACGCCCCCUCCCAUGUCAACCCCCGUAACCGCUGGUCUUCGUCUCUAUGAAUUAAACUAUUCCAGGUACCUCCCAUCAGUGGAAUCAUAAAAUAUAUGUUCUUUUGC